rnacentral:rRNA from 1 species
CACGUAGGGCGCAAGCGUUGUCCGGAAUUAUUGGGCGUAAAGCGCACGUAGGCGGCUUAGCAAGUUGGAUGUGAAAGCCCUCGGCUUAACCAAGGAAGUGCAUCCAAAACUGCUGAGCUUGAGUAGUUAAGAGGAUCGCGGAAUUCCCGGUGUAGAGGUGAAAUUCGUAGAUAUCGGGAGGAACACCAGUGGCGAAGGCGGCGAUCUGGGCACAUACUGACGCUGAGGUGCGAAAGCGUGGGGAGCAAACAGG